AUGUUGCAAUCAUUGUGCCCGAAGAAAGACAUGUGUUUGCUGCUCCAGGAAGGCAAAGCUUUGGCGACUCCCCAGCUCGGCUUAAACUGUAGAACGGCGUCCUUGAUGGCCCCGGGGACACAAGAAAUUAGAGAGCCGCGACCGUUGCUGCAGUUUCUAUCCUGGUGUGUUUUCAGUUUUGCUGAUGUGCUGCUGGCUGUAAGAAUAAUAAUUCAUGACUUUGAGAUUUUGAGAAGUGACCUAUUUAAAAGGUAUGCAAUGGUCUUGACUGAUGUGCCACUGUUUUCAUUUCGUUUGAAAUGGAACAGGGCGAAGAGCCUUUUGAUCUAA
rnacentral:rRNA from 1 species